rnacentral:rRNA from 1 species
CUAACACAUGCAAGUCGAGGGGUAAUGUUCAGCUUGCUGAAUACACGACCGGCGCACGGGUGAGUAACACGUUUGCAACCUACCUCUAACUGGAGGAUAGCCCGAAGAAAUUCGGAUUAAUAUUCCAUAAAGUCAUUUAAGGCAUCUUUUAUUGAUUAAAGCUCCGGCGGUUAGAGAUGGGCAUGCGUGUCAUUAGCUAGUUGGUGAGGUAACGGCUCACCAAUGCCACGAUGACUAGGGGGUCUGAGAGGAUGAUCCCCCACACUGGUACUGAGACACGGACCAGACUCCUACGGGAGGCAGCAGUGAGGAAUAUUGGGCAAUGGACGCAAGUCUGACCCAGCCAUGCCGCGUGCAGGAUGACUGCCCUAUGGGUUGUAAACUUGCUUUUGUUUGGGAAGAAACCCCCGAUCGUGAUCGGGGCUGACGGUACCAUACGAAUAAGCAUCGGCUAACUCCGUGCCAGCAGCCGCGGUAAUACGGAGGAUGCAAGCGUUAUCCGGGAUUCAUUGGGUUUAAAGGGUGCGCAGGCGGAAUAUUAAGUCAGUGGUGAAAUCCUGCAGCUUAACUGUAGAACUGCCAAUUGAUACUGAUAUUCUUGAAUAUAGUUGAGGUAGCCGGAAUGUGUAAUGUAGCGGUGAAAUGCUUAGAUAUUACACAGAACACCAAUUGCGAAGGCAGCUCACUAAACUAAUAUUGACGCUGAGGCACGAAAGCGUGGGUAGCAAACAGGAUUAGAUACCCUGGUAGUCCACGCUGUAAACUAUGAUCACUCGCUGUUGGCAAUACAUCGUCAGCGGCUGAGCGAAAGCAUUAAGUGAUCCACCUGGGGAGUACGGUCGCAAGAUUGAAACUCAAAGGAAUUGACGGGGGCCCGCACAAGCGGAGGAACAUGUGGUUUAAUUCGAUGAUACGCGAGGAACCUUACCUGGGCUUAAAUGCAGAGCGACGUCCGCCGAAAGGUGGAUUCCUUCGGGCGAUCUGCAAGGUGCUGCAUGGUUGUCGUCAGCUCGUGCCGUGAGGUGUCGGGUUAAGUCCCAUAACGAGCGCAACCCUUAUCGUUAGUUGCCAGCGGGUAAUGCCGGGGACUCUGACGAAACUGCCGGUGUAAACCGUGAGGAAGGUGGGGAUGACGUCAAAUCAGCACGGCCCUUAUGUCCAGGGCUACACACGUGUUACAAUGGUCGGUACAGAGGGCAGCUACCACGCGAGUGGAUGCUAAUCUCGAAAACCGGUCUCAGUUCGGAUUGAAGUCUGCAACUCGACUUCAUGAAGCUGGAUUCGCUAGUAAUCGCGCAUCAGCCAUGGCGCGGUGAUACGUUCCCGGGCCUUGUACACACCGCCCGUCAAGCCAUGGAAGCUUG